rnacentral:rRNA from 1 species
UACAGAGGUCCCGAGCGUUGUUCGGAUUCACUGGGCGUAAAGGGUGCGUAGGUGGCGAGGUAAGUCGGAUGUGAAAUCUCCAAGCUUAACUUGGAAAUGGCAUUGGAAACUACCUGGCUAGAGGUUUGGAGGGGGGACUGGAAUGCUUGGUGUAGCAGUGAAAUGCGUAGAUAUCAAGAGGAACACCUGCGGCGAAGGCGGGUUGCUGGGCUGACACUGACGCUGAAGCGCGAAAGCGUGGGGAGCGAACAGG